rnacentral:rRNA from 1 species
AUUGAACGCUGGCGGCAUGCCUUACACAUGCAAGUCGAACGGUAACAGGUCUUCGGAUGCUGACGAGUGGCGAACGGGUGAGUAAUACAUCGGAACGUGCCUAGUAGUGGGGGAUAACUACGAGAAAGAGUGGCUAAUACCGCAUGAGAUCUACGGAUGAAAGCAGGGGAUCGCAAGACCUUGUGAUACUAGAAGGGUCGAUGGCAGAUUAGGUAGUUGGUGGGAUAAAAGCUUCCCAAGCCGACGAUCUGUACCUGGUCUGAGAGUGCGAUCACCCACACGGGGACUGAUACACGGCCCAGACUCCUACGGGAGGCAGCAGUGGGGAAUUUUGGACAAUGGGCGCAAGCCUGAUCCAGCAAUGCCGCGUGCAGGAGGAAGGCCUUCGGGUUUUAAACUGCUUUUGUACGGAACGAAAAGCCCUGGGUUAAUACCCUGGGGUCAUGACGGUACCGUAAGAAUAAGCACCGGCUAACUACGUGCCAGCAGCCGCCGUAA